ACCUACGGGAGGCAGCAGUGGGGGAUAUUGCACAAUGGGGGAAACCCUGAUGCAGCGACGCCGCGUGGGUGAAGAAGCGCCUCGGCGCGUACAGCCCUGUCAGCAGGGAAGAAAAUGACGGUACCUGAAGAAGAAGCCCCGGCUAACUACGUGCCAGCAGCCGCGGUAAUACGUAGGGGGCAAGCGUUAUCCGGAUUUACUGGGUGUAAAGGGGGCGCAGACGGCGAUGCAAGCCAGGAGUGAAAGCCCGGGGCCCAACCCCGGGACUGCUCUUGGAACUGCCUGGCUAGAGUGCAGGAGGGGCC
rnacentral:rRNA from 1 species